AUGAGCUGUGAGAUCAUGACCUGAGCUGAAGUUGGCCACUUAACCCACUGAGCCCCCCAGGGUGCCCCUGAAGUCGCUCACUUGGAAAGAGCAGCUUUCCAUAAGCUUCAGUGCCUCAUUACAUUACCGAAUUAUGUAAGUUACAUAAAAUGGAUACAAAUCAUAAUUUGCAGACAGCCCAGCGCUGCAGCCCUGUCUGUUGGUCAAGGCCAUACCCCAGAGCUGCUCUUGCGUCUUAGCACAGCCAAACAGAAGUAGAAAGGAAGGUGGUGAACACGUCAAAGGAAAAGCACAGUGAAUGUCACCUUGCACCUGUCAGAAGGGCUGUUACCCAAGGACCAGACACAACGCGUGUGAGCGUGAGGAGUGUGAGGGCGUGGAGAGGAUGCGGAGAGUAGGAAGCCGUCUACACUGCAGGUACCCAGGACUUUUCCGUGCAUGGCGUCAUUGGCUCAUACCCACAGGUCAGUGAGCCCCCAAGGCAGGCUGCAGGCAGGGACCGCACCCCUGGACUAAGCCGCCAGGGCCCAGGAGCCCAAGGCUAGUACGUGGCACCCCUGGGUGCAGAACUUUGACCUCUUUCUGCACCGCACAGCGCUCCUUGCUCCUGGGUUUGCAUACAAUUCAUGCAACACACACAGAUUUGUAUUCAAUAGCAGUAAUAACCAUUCAUUGUUUCUAUGAACGAAUCCGCCAGCCAGAGGGGCGUGGGCAGUGCUCAGGGCGGCUCUGAUUUCUGCCUGCGAGUUCCUCACCCCCGGCCCCCAGAAAGCUGCCUGUUCUCCCUCGGGACUCCUUGUUUACAAACGCGCAGCUUCCCUCUGCAGCGAGAGCCAAACGAUGAGCCUCAUGGUCAAGAGCCACACUCAAUCUCCUUUUUAAUGAGCUGCCUCUCAGUUUGGCUCAGGUCAAUGUCACCUGCUGUCCGUUAUCCGUACUUCAAAGGACUGGGUCACGGCUGCUGGCGCUGGGAAUGUGAGUGAAUUUCGGCCCAGACAGCACAACCAUUAGAGUGAUGUGUGGCUUCCUUUAUCAAGGGGACCUUCGUGACUGUGGACGGAGCCGACUCACAGCCACGCUGUCACCGCCGCCACGAUACCAACGCUGAGCCCUCAUGUUCUACCAGAGACCCCUUAAU